CUGAGUCACCAUAUAUAUUUUUGUAUAAUUUUGUUUGACUUAUUACAACAUAAUUUUUCUCUUGCAGAUGCAUAUUUCAGUCCUAAAAGCCGGCAGCACGCCCAAAAUUGAAUGCUGCGAGACAUGCUGCAAACAAUUCCACUGUCCGCUGUGCCUAAAGUUUAAACCUGCCAAACUGUCCAAGCUGCAGAGCCACUUGGAGGCACACAAAAAAGGUGGCAUUUUAUUUAAAGAUAAAAUUAUAUGCAGAUGCGGACUGAACUGCAGGGAUCAGGGACACUACCAUUGUCCUGUGUGCAGUAAAACUGUUUUGAGAAGGACAGACAUGACCAAACACUUGGAGGUUUGCCAGCGUGCCAUGACUGCUGCCUCUCCAGAAAAGACCUCUCCUCCCGCCCACAAAAAUACAGCUGCAGAGUCCACCUCGGUCUUGAUGCCGGAUCUCUCCUCUUCCAGUUCACCUUCAGCAGAGCAACAAACCUCAACUGCCACACCUCUGUCCACGCUCCUGCAAGCCACAGUCUCAACCUCUCAAGAUUUGCAAGAUACAGCUGCAGUGCCCUCCUUGGUUUUACCUGCUGCCACAGAGAAAAGACGUUCAAGAUUAUCCCUGAAAAAGGAUAAAUGCCCUCAUUGCAACCAGACAAUCUCCAAAAAAAAACAUGGUCACACAUAUCCAGAGAAAACACAGUGGAAAAUCAAAGGACAUAAACGUUAAGAAUCACUUCAUGAGUGUCUGUGUCGAUGCCACCAAUGGCAUUCUGCAGUGCAGAAAACAAGGCAUGGGUUUUAGACUGAAGCAAAAACUGGAUGACAUGACUGAGGUCAGUUUGCAGUCCUUUUUUCUCAGUCUUUAUUAGUUGUUUUCAGUCAAUCUUAUGUCAAGUUUCCCAUCCCAGGACAUGGUUUCUAAACUGACUUUGUGACCUUUGCUUGUAUUUAAUGCAAAAUAAUACUUUUUAGGCUGAGGAGAGGAAGAAAAUGUGCCACCAGGUAGAGACCAUGGAAGCAGCUCACCAGGUGGAGACAACUGAAGAAGAGACCAGUAUGGUGGGCCAAGUUGUGGCCCACUGCAAACAAGCAGCGGAAUGGGUGCAGGGGAACCCACAACUGUUUACAGCCAGGGUGGAGAUGCCAGAAAUUUUAAACAUGGACAGCAAAUCUAUUGAGGAGGCUCAACAGCAACUGGCAAACUUGUUCGAUGCCACCCAGGACAUUGAUGAUGAUGAGAGAGAAUUCAUUCUGGAGCCCUUCAAGUUUUUCUUUUACAACAUUGAGGAUAUGUUUGUCUUCUGUGAAGAGGUUAUGGAUAACCGACGCUACAUGGCAUACUGUGAAUUCAAAGACAAAUAAAACGUUUGAAAGUU